rnacentral:miRNA from 1 species
GCCAAAAAGUUCGUUUGGAUUUUUCCAUCCUGUGUGAUGGAAAACCCGAACGAACCUUUUGGC